AUAGGAGACAAGAAGGCAUCUUCUUGUUUUUAAAAGACCUAGCAAUAGGUAUGCUUAGGGAGGAGCUUGCGUCACAUUAGUUAGUUGGUGGGGUAAAGGCCUACCAAGACUAUGAUGUGUAGCCGGGCUGAGAGGUUGAACGGCCACAUUGGGACUGAGACACGGCCCAAACUCCUACGGGAGGCAGCAGUAGGGAAUUUUCGGCAAUGGAGGAAACUCUGACCGAGCAACGCCGCGUGAACGAUGAAGUAUUUCGGUACGUAAAGUUCUUUUAUUAGGGAAGAAUAAAUGAUGGAAAAAUCAUUCUGACGGUACCUAAUGAAUAAGCCCCGGCUAACUAUGUGCCAGCAGCCGCGGUAAUACAUAGGGGGCAAGCGUUAUCCGGAAUUAUUGGGCGUAAAGGGUGCGUAGGCGGUUAAAUAAGUUUAUGGUCUAAGUGCAAUGCUCAACAUUGUGAUGCUAUAAAAACUGUUUAGCUAGAGUAAGAUAGAGGCAAGUGGAAUUCCAUGUGUAGUGGUAAAAUGCGUAAAUAUAUGGAGGAACACCAGUAGCGAAGGCGGCUUGCUGGGUCUUUACUGACGCUGAGGCACGAAAGCGUGGGGAGCAAACAGGAUUAGAUACCCUGGUAGUCCACGCCGUAAACGAUGAGUACUAAACGUUGGGUAAAACCAGUGUUGAAGUUAACACAUUAAGUACUCCGCCUGAGUAGUACGUACGCAAGUAUGAAACUUAAAGGAAUUGACGGGACUCCGCACAAGCGGUGGAUCAUGUUGUUUAAUUCGAAGGUACCCGAAAAACCUCACCAGGUCUUGACAUGCUUCUGCAAAGCUGUAGAAACACAGUGGAGGUUAUCAGUUGCACAGGUGGUGCAUGGUUGUCGUCAGCUCGUGUCGUGAGAUGUUGGGUUAAGUCCCGCAACGAGCGCAACCCUUAUUGUUAGUUACCAGCACGUAAUGGUGGGGACUUUAGCAAGACUGCCAGUGAUAAAUUGGAGGAAGGUGGGGACGACGUCAAAUCAUCAUGCCCCUUAUGACCUGGGCUACAAACGUGAUACAAUGGCUGUUACAAAGGGUAGCUGAAGCGCAAGUUUUUGGCGAAUCUCAAAAAAACAGUCUCAGUUCGGAUUGAAGUCUGCAACUCGACUUCAUGAAGUUGGAAUCGCUAGUAAUCGCGAAUCAGCAUGUCGCGGUGAAUACGUUCU
rnacentral:rRNA from 4 species